AUUAUAAGGCAGUUCAUAGAUGCUGCUGCUGCUGCUGCUAGCAUUUCAUCUGCUGAGAAUCACACUCAGUAGCAACAGCCGUCCAAGAUACAGCCCUGCGGGGCUUUGAGUGUUAACGUUGGGUGCAUAGUGAUGAGGCUUUUUUAAAGCCUUGAAACGGGGCCAACUGGUAAUACCUAAGGAACAUUUCCUGGCAAACAGAAAAAGCUCUCUUGGUCUUUAAAGUUCAUGACAGAUUCCCUAAGUGUUUGUAAAACAUCUGCCAACCACACUGAUGGGCUCUCACACAAAGCUCUUCUACCAGAGGCAAGCAUUUUCACCAGCCAUUUUGAAUUUGAUGUGCUCAGCACUUUGAGGUAGCUGGCUCCUGGGCGUAAGUCAGAUUCUGACUCACUGGCUGGAUCACCAUCCUCAGGACCCCUUGCAGGAGUCUCACACUGUCGCCCAGGCUGGAGUGCAAUGGCACAAUCUCGGCUCACUACAACCUCUGCCUCCCAGGUUCAAGCGAUUCUCCUGCCUCAGCCUCCCAUCUUCAAAUAUUUUUGUACCCUUAUCUUAUUUUUUCAGGAACUCCAGUUUCACAAAUAUUAGCCCAAGUGAAAUUGGCCCACAGAUCACUGAUCCUCUGUUCAUUAAAAAAAAAAUAAAAGUCUCUGUGAUGGUUGAUUUUGGGUAUCAACUUGCCUGGAUUAAGGGACACUUAGGUACCUGGGAAAGCAUUGUUUAUUCUCAGUGCUUCAGUGGGCACUGAGCACAUCCCUUUUCUGCUGAAAGGGAAACCCAGAUGGCUUGCCAUUUGAUUGGAAUGAUUGGGCUCCCCCAGGAAUGUUUGAGAGGGUGUUUCCAGAUGACAUUGGCAUAUGAGUUGGUGGACUGAGUGGGGAAGAUCUAGCUUCAAUGUGGAUGGACAUCAUCCAAUCAGCUGG
rnacentral:lncRNA from 1 species